rnacentral:lncRNA from 1 species
AAAAAGCAAGAAAAAAAUGAAUGCAAUAGUAAAUGAAAUAAAACGUUGAUUAUUUAUUCGUUUAACGUGGUAAUUAUGAUAUCUGACAGAUCCAAUAUCUCUCUCUCUUUCUCUCUCGUUCUAUCUUAUAGAAUUGAAAUUCGUACGCGGGCGGGUGCGUAACGCGCGUCAGGAUUGGCGGAUGUAGAGAGGGUUGGCCGAGAGAAAGAGAGAGAGAGAGAGAGACGGGGAGAGGAGGAGGAAAUCAAUGCCACCGUCUGGCACUAGAGAAGAGAGAAAAUACGACGACGACGACGACGACGACGAAACGUAUAUAGUAUAUCUCGGUGUUCUGUUCUCUUCUGAUCUUGCGCGACCCUCGUCGUCGUCGAAGACGUCGCCGAUGAUUAUCGAAGAGAAACACGUUAAAAAGAGAACGCGAACGAACUGAACACCAGUGAGAGCGAACAAACGAGCAAAAGGUGCGUUCGCGAACGAGUCGAUGAAACUCGCGAGACGAUUGGACGA